AGUGCAGGCUGAGGCCCGCCAGAGUCUUACAGUCUCUCAAAUGAAGUGGGAAUGUGGAUUAGAAACAAGAAGACCUUAAACAUUAGCAACUAUAUAAUUUUUUUUUUUUAAAAAAGCAAUUGCUGGCCACUUUGUACCUAUUAUGAUGGCUACCAUCAGAAAACGAAAAGAAGUAGAAGCUGGAACGGUGCUGGCAAGGGUGAGGGGAAAUUGGAAUCCUGCGCUCGGCUGGUGGGAAUAUAACAGGAGGCAAGCCAAUCUGAGAAACUGUGUGCCAGAUUCUCCAAAGACUAAGAAGAAUGGAGUGUGACUUAGCGACUUCAGCUCUGGGGAUGGAGCCCUGUGUUUCUGAAAGCAGUGAGGAUUUAUUUGCACGCCUGUGUUCAUAACAGGAUUAGUCACAGGAGGUGUAAAGACAGAAGCAGCCCCCAUCUCUACUGCCAGACAAACAGGUAGAGACGUUUCCACUGUCACCUCGAUGUUCUAGAACAAAGGCUGAGGAAAAGGCUAAGCACUGGACAGACGUCAAAACCCUACCCUGAGUCAUCUCUGCAUCCAAUCCGGCCUCCUGCACGGCAUCCCAAGAGACAUGGCUGCAUUCACGUGGGCAGCAGCUCAGAAGACCUGAUACCUGCACUCUCUGGAAGACAGCCCGUCCCUCCCCACAUGCCCCAAACAAGUAAUCUUGAGGACCUCAUUCAAAAGGAUGUUUUAUUAGGGAACUACCUUCAUCCCAAUAUUAGCUUCCAAUUGCCUUGGACAAGGUGGAACAUUUCUUCUGACUGUCCCCAUCUGAUGUCAGAGUAAGCAAAACUCUGCACCACGCUGUCACUAACACAUUUCCUGCUGGCACCCCGCUCCCUCCCUUAAAAUCCCAGGACAGGGGCCCUCUGGAGUGUCAGAAGUUGCACUGCCUCUCUGCCUGGAAGGAAGGACCGGUCCCUCUGAAGUUAAGGAACUGUAACUGGAGAGCACACACCUUAGACAGCCCUGUCCUUUCUCCAUCGACUCCACAGAUUAAUACUGUGAAGGAGAUGUGUGAGGCGGUGUUUAGGGCUCUCAAAGCAAAUUCUUCAAGCAUCCUCAAGCACUUACAAACACUUGAUACCAUAAUUACAAAUAAUUCUCUUCUCAUUAAGGCGCUACCAGCCUGCACUGCUAAUCUACUUUGAAUUACAUGCACUGGAAGACACACGUUUCUUCAAAAAAAAAAAAAAAAGAAAUAGCUUAUAACUCACACUUCAAAUCCAUACAAACUAAUCCCUGAUGAAAUUCAUCUGACCUGGUAAAGAUUUACUGCAUGCUAAACAUAUAGAUGAAUGGUGCUGAAGUGAGGAAGAUGGCCGCCCUGCCCCUAGGAGGGUAAGCAGGGAGAUCGGUGGUGAGGAAGACAGGAGCACUGACUUCCAGUGAGGAACAGCCCAGACCUUCGGUGGAGCCUGCAGAGGCUCACGGGCAACUCCCACAGAGAGUGUCUAGGAAGUCUCCAGACACCCAUGCAUCUUGAACUCAAGCAGGCCCGGGAAGGGAACAGAGUGCCUAGUAACUCGGUGCCUUCCUGAGGGAAGUUCCUCUCAGGUUCCUCUCGGGAGGUGGUGGACGGUCAGUUCCUACAAGAGGAAGCUGAAGGCCACGCUGGGCACUAAACACAGGGCAGGUGAGGACGGAAGCUUUCAGUCCCUGACUCAGACCGAAGGGACGGAAUGAAUGAGAGGCCCUGGGGUGUCUGGGGCCUUUCCCACUGUGCCUGUACAUGCUCACUAGACUGUGGCUGGCAGGAGGGGAGACCAGCGAGCAAGGGAAGGUGGGAAAACCAUGUUCCACUCCUAGAGAGACGGCCUCCAGGAAGAGCAAUGUCUAGGUUUUAGCCUUCAUUUCAUUCUAGGUAUCUGAUGAGCACCCUGCCCUGAAUGCUCCUCACACUUUUCUGUUUCCGAGUUGGCUCCCCAGCCUAGCACCGCCUCCCAUGCCUCCAUCCCAAGUCACCAACUCUCCUUUCAAGGCCUAUCACCGGACUCUACCAAGGAGCCUCGCCCAUACCCAUCACCAGCUGGAACUAAUCACGUCCUUUGUUACAAUGUUGAUUCUGCCACGAACUGAGAGUAUUUGUGUAACAUUUGCUCCCUCACCGUUUGGAAGCCUCCCCGGAGAAGGAUCGUCUAAUGAGCCACCUGUCUGCCCACCGGUUCCUCAAUAGGACCUCUGUGUUUGCUGAAUGAAUCAGUGGCUGACAAACAGCCAACUGGGGCAGCCAGUCGGUCCUCUUGUUUACAACUUGUUCAGCUGUUUGCAAUGACACCAAGAAGAACCUGUGACUGAGGGACGUGGCGUGGCUGUGGAGACAACGUGGCUUUCAGGCCAUAUUGGAGAACUGCUAGCGCUCAGAUAGCAAGGAAACCAGCAGCCUUCAAACAGCAUAUAGGUGGUCAACUACCAAGUGACAUUUAAAAAAUAAAAUUUUAAGACUUAAUUU
ensembl:antisense Tmcc3os transmembrane and coiled coil domains 3, opposite strand